rnacentral:rRNA from 1 species
GAUGAACGCUGGCGGCGUGCCUAAUACAUGCAAGUCGAGCGAACGGACGAGAAGCUUGCUUCUCUGAUGUUAGCGGCGGACGGGUGAGUAACACGUGGAUAACCUACCUAUAAGACUGGGAUAACUUCGGGAAACCGGAGCUAAUACCGGAUAAUAUUUUGAACCGCAUGGUUCAAAAGUGAAAGACGGUCUUGCUGUCACUUAUAGAUGGAUCCGCGCUGCAUUAGCUAGUUGGUAAGGUAACGGCUUACCAAGGCAACGAUGCAUAGCCGACCUGAGAGGGUGAUCGGCCACACUGGAACUGAGACACGGUCCAGACUCCUACGGGAGGCAGCAGUAGGGAAUCUUCCGCAAAGGGCGAAAGCCUGACGGAGCAAAGCCGCGUGAGUGAUGAAGGUCUUCGGAUCGUAAAACUCUGUUAUUAGGGAAGAACAUAUGUGUAAGUAACUGUGCACAUCUUGACGGUACCUAAUCAGAAAGCCACGGCUAACUACGUG